rnacentral:lncRNA from 1 species
AAAGCUUUUUUUCUGGAACAGCUGAUUGUGAGUUUUUUUCUGCAGCUUGCAAAUCAAAAGUACAGAUAAAUGAAGGCAAACAUCCCAGUGGUGGCCUGUUUGAGACCUGCCUGCAUCAAGUCUUUGAGAGGUGUGUUGUUUACCACUGGCACAUUCACUGAGGCAAACUACAGCUGUGUUUUCCCUUUUACAAAGAAAAAAACAAACUUGAAGAUGGAAUAUUUGAAAUUCCCAUGAGGCAAAUGUGAAAGAGAAACUCUUAUUUUGCAAAUCUGCCUAUGUUGCAUGAGCCAAUCCACAUUUUUUGAUGAGUGGAGUUGCCAGCAAUGCAUGCCAGGAAAAAGGCCUCAGUAAAGGAGCUCCAUCAACAAAAAAGUCCCGGGAAGGCAUCCACCAGAGGGAGUUCCAUGAAUGCAUCAAACCCAGCCGGAGCUAUAAAUGAUUAUACAGCGGCUGAGAAGAGCCGCCUGUGCACUCCCCGGGACAGACAAGCUGCUCCCCGCAGCUGCUGGUCAGGAGCCUGGGCUGAAUUCAGCAAAGUACUGACCCAAAUCUGCAUAAUCUUAAGUGAAUACUCAGUGAACUCUAAGGAAUUGCUCUGUGCCUGGCAUUAAGCGAGUGUUUUAUUAGAGCGGGGUCAAAAUACUCAGUGCUUUGCAGGAUCAUAUGAGGAAAAGAAAAGACUCUGUUUACACCUCGG